GACGAACCGUGCGAACGUUGUUCGGAUUCACUGGGCUUAAAGGGCGCGUAGGCGGGCAUGCCAGUCUGUGGUGAAAGCCCCCGGCUUAACCGGGGAAGUGCCGUGGAUACUGCGAGUCUUGAGGAGGGUAGGGGCAUCUGGAACGCUGGGUGGAGCGGUGAAAUGCGUAGAUAUCUGGAGGAACACCGGUGGCGAAGGCGGCAUCCUGGACCAAUAUUGACGCUGAGGAGCGAAAGCCAGGGGAGCAAACGGG
rnacentral:rRNA from 1 species